rnacentral:rRNA from 1 species
GGCUCAGGAUGAACGCUAGCUACAGGCUUAACACAUGCAAGUCGAGGGGCAUCAGGAAGAAAGCUUGCUUUCUUUGCUGGCGACCGGCGCACGGGUGAGUAACACGUAUCCAACCUGCCCUUUACUCGGGGAUAGCCUUUCGAAAGAAAGAUUAAUACCCGAUAGCAUAAUGAUUCCGCAUGGUUUCAUUAUUAAAGGAUUCCGGUAAAGGAUGGGGAUGCGUUCCAUUAGGUUGUUGGUGAGGUAACGGCCCACCAAGCCUUCGAUGGAUAGGGGUUCUGAGAGGAAGGUCCCCCACAUUGGAACUGAGACACGGUCCAAACUCCUACGGGAGGCAGCAGUGAGGAAUAUUGGUCAAUGGGCGCUAGCCUGAACCAGCCAAGUAGCGUGAAGGAUGAAGGCUCUAUGGGUCGUAAACUUCUUUUAUAUAAGAAUAAAGUGCAGUAUGUAUACUGUUUUGUAUGUAUUAUAUGAAUAAGGAUCGGCUAACUCCGUGCCAGCAGCCGCGGUAAUACGGAGGAUCCGAGCGUUAUCCGGAUUUAUUGGGUUUAAAGGGAGCGUAGGUGGACUGGUAAGUCAGUUGUGAAAGUUUGCGGCUCAACCGUAAAAUUGCAGUUGAUACUGUCAGUCUUGAGUACAGUAGAGGUGGGCGGAAUUCGUGGUGUAGCGGUGAAAUGCUUAGAUAUCACGAAGAACUCCGAUUGCGAAGGCAGCUCACUGGACUGCAACUGACACUGAUGCUCGAAAGUGUGGGUAUCAAACAGGAUUAGAUACCCUGGUAGUCCACACAGUAAACGAUGAAUACUCGCUGUUUGCGAUAUACAGUAAGCGGCCAAGCGAAAGCAUUAAGUAUUCCACCUGGGGAGUACGCCGGCAACGGUGAAACUCAAAGGAAUUGACGGGGGCCCGCACAAGCGGAGGAACAUGUGGUUUAAUUCGAUGAUACGCGAGGAACCUUACCCGGGCUUAAAUUGCAGUGGAAUGAUGUGGAAACAUGUCAGUGAGCAAUCACCGCUGUGAAGGUGCUGCAUGGUUGUCGUCAGCUCGUGCCGUGAGGUGUCGGCUUAAGUGCCAUAACGAGCGCAACCCUUAUCUUCAGUUACUAACAGGUUAUGCUGAGGACUCUGGAGAGACUGCCGUCGUAAGAUGUGAGGAAGGUGGGGAUGACGUCAAAUCAGCACGGCCCUUACGUCCGGGGCUACACACGUGUUACAAUGGGGGGUACAGAAGGCAGCUACCUGGUGACAGGAUGCUAAUCCCAAAAGCCUCUCUCAGUUCGGAUCGAAGUCUGCAACCCGACUUCGUGAAGCUGGAUUCGCUAGUAAUCGCGCAUCAGCCACGGCGCGGUGAAUACGUUCCCGGGCCUUGUACACACCGCCCGUCAAGCCAUGGGAGCCGGGGGUACCUGAAGUACGUAACCGCAAGGAUCGUCCUAGGGUAAAACUG